rnacentral:lncRNA from 1 species
AUGCUGAGCCUGCCAAUUUGGAGAAACAGAGCGCACUUCAGGAAACAGGUCAUCCCCAAACUGCUGAAGGAUGAAGGGAUGGGGAAAGAAAUGGUCUUUAUGUUUGACGGCUCCACAGCCUGUUCAUUUUGUGCUGAGAAUCUGUUUUGCUGUUUUAUGGGCCAUCCUGCAACACACAUGAGCACUGUGCAGAAGAGUGUGAGGAAACUACUGCAAAAGGAAGCAGAAUAAAAAAGAAACAAAGGAAGAAAGAAGCAUUUUACUGAGGUCUCAAGCGGAGGGGAGAGAGCGAGGGGAGAGAAGCAGAGACACACUGAGGCACAUUCUCAGGAAUUCUCUCUGUCCUGGCGGAUCUGGAUCUCUGUAAUUAGCCACGUGUACUCCUAUGUUCCUGAGAGUUUCCUUUUUCUUUUUUGGUACUGGGGAUCUAACUCAGGACCUUGUGCUUGCGAGGCAAGCACCAGAACCACUGAGCUAAAUCACUGGAACUGCCUGAGAUUUUUCUUGCUGUCACUUUCUUUUCUGCAUCUUAUUUCAUUCGUGAAGUUUUAUGUAGCUUUGAAAUCACAGUAUAAAAUAUUUAGAUUGUUUCAAUGUUUAAAAUACAAUCAUGUCAGUCAGCCAU